UACGUAGGGUGCGAGCGUUAAUCGGAAUUACUGGGCGUAAAGCGUGCGCAGGCGGUGAUGUAAGACAGAUGUGAAAUCCCCGGGCUCAACCUGGGAACUGCAUUUGUGACUGCAUCGCUGGAGUGCGGCAGAGGGGGAUGGAAUUCCGCGUGUAGCAGUGAAAUGCGUAGAUAUGCGGAGGAACACGAUGGCGAAGGCAAUCCCCUGGGCCUGCACUGACGCUCAUGCACGAAAGCGUGGGGAGCAAACAGG
rnacentral:rRNA from 1 species